AAGCAGGAGGUGUCAGAAAAGUUACCACAGGGAUAACUGGCUUGUGGCGACCAAGCUCUCAUAGCGACUUCGCUUUUUGAUCCUUCGA
ensembl:miRNA